CAGGGCCCUGCACAGACGAGUAUUUAAUAAGCAUCUACCUGUGCCAGACGCCGCGCGUAGUGCUGGGGAUAUAAAGACAAAAAAAGACACAUUCCCUGUCCUCAGGAGGGAUCACAAUUUAAUGAUGGUGACAAUAUUAAGUAUGAAUCCAGAUAGUAAGUAGCACAGCGGCUUAUACAUAAAUACAAGCUAACCUGGGGGUUGGUGGGGGAGGGAAAGAGGCACCAAGUGUUUGUAGAAUUGUAUCAUACUCAGUCAUAGCUCAGUCAACGAGUGUUAUUUAGCUGUUAUUAGUCACGUUCCUGGACGGUGGUUUUGGAUAAAACCAGGAGAAGGUUCCAAAAAGCCCCUUUCCUCUUUCCCCCACCCACCACCUCCUCUUUUCUGAGGUUUACUCAACUGCCCUUUGAUUUCCUCUCAGAUUCUGGGAGCUGAGACUGAGGAGGACCUUUCUGAGCCUGCAUUCUCUGAUAAGCUGGCAGAUGUGGGAAUCUCCCUUAGCAUUUAUGUAGCAGUGGAAAUUUCUGUUCUUGGUGCUCUUCCAAGGACAGUCGGGAGAUUUUAUAGGACAAUCUGUGAUUGGCUCCCUACCUGGAAGGAAUUUUGCGACCUGAUGUGAUAACCUCCCCCACCCCCAAGCUGUACCAUUUCCUCUCCAUUAUGGCACUGGCUCCUAGAAGGUGGACUGGUAAAGUAUUGGUGAGUCUACUAUGAGGUUGGUCCUGAUAGGAUGUAGAAAUCUAUGCAUA
rnacentral:lncRNA from 1 species